CCGGCCUCCCCAGGCAUGGCGCCGCUGCGCUUCUCCGCCAAUCUGUCCUGGCUAUUCCCCGAGCUCCCCGGCCUCCCCGCGCGGGUGCGGGCCGCGGGCAGCUCGGGCUUCGAGGCCGUCGAGGUGGCCUGGCCGUACGCGGAGCCGCCUGAGACGCUGGCGCGCGCCGCGCGAGAAGCUGGGCUGCGGCUUGUACUGAUCAACACGCCCCCCGGAGACCAAGAGAAGGGGGAAAUGGGGUUAGGGGCCGUCCCCGGGAGACAGGCGGCCUUCCGAGAGGGACUGGAGCAGGCCGUGCGGUACGCCAAAGCCCUGAGCUGUCCCAGGUACCCCGCUCCACCCCACCCCCACCCUUCUGUGACCCAUGACGCUGCUGCAGGUUCAGGGAGUCGAGGACGCCAGAUCUGAGACGCUCAGAAGUCUGAGCCCACUGGUUUAUCUCUGCCUCUGCGGUCCUGGUCCUUUGUAAAUUGCCUUUUGUAUUUUAUCUGUCUUAUGCCAGUCUGUUUGCCACUCCUUCAUGCUUACCCCAUGCUGGGA
rnacentral:sRNA from 1 species